rnacentral:rRNA from 1 species
UGUAUAGCAAUAGCUAAUUGCGCUAAAUUAGUGUAAAAUCGACCCUGUCGAAUAAAAUUCUGGGUAGAAUUAUGAUAAUGACAUUGUCUAUCCAUAAGUCUUGACCAAAUUACGUGCCAGCAGUCGCGGUAACACGUAGCAGACAAGUGUUAUUCAUCUUUAAUAGGUUUAUGGGGUACUUAGACGGUAAAUCAAGCCUAAAAAGGGACUAAUUUUCUAGAGUUUUAUGUGAGGAAGUAUUAAGGUACUGGUGGUGUAGAGAUGAAAUUCUAUGAUACCUUGAAUGGCACAGGUAUAGGCGAAAGCAUCUUCUUAUGUAAUAACUGACGUUAAAAGACGAAGGCUUUGUGUCUCGAACAGGAUUAGAUACCCUAGUAGUCAAAGCAGACAAUGAUGAAUGUCAUAGAUUGGAUUUAAAUUUAUUUAAUCUAUAAAUGAAAGUGUAAGCAUUCCACCUUAAGAGUAAUUUGGCAACAUUGGAACUGAAAUCAUUAGACCGUUUCUGAGACCAGUUGUGAAGUAUGUUGUUUAAUUUGAUGAUCCGCAAAAAACCUUACCACAACUGAAUAGAUAAAUUUUAUCAUACAAGCGUUGCACGGCUGUCUUUAGUUAAUGUCGUGAGACUUUGGUUAGUUCCAUUAAAUUAACGUAAACCCUUACUUUAUCUUAAAAUAAAGUAGUUCACCACUAUAUUG